GGAGGGUACAGUGCAGUGGUAGAGCGCAUGCCUAGCAUGCACAAGGUCCUGGGUUCAAUCCCCAGAACCUCUA
rfam:Camelus ferus unplaced genomic scaffold scaffold1443, whole genome shotgun sequence.